GGAGGGGAUCUCCUGCUCCUGUUCCUCCCACUCCUGCCCCAGGCGGGCUGCGUGGGACAUAGCGGGCUGGGUGGUCGCAGAAGGUAGCCCAACCGUCGUGUGAGGCCCGCACGUGCACCGCCUUCUCGAAGGAGCGGUUCAGCACGCGCACCAACCCGCGCACCACUGGCGGGCGUCCCCCAGGCACCCACACCCCGGAACCCCCGGGAACCGCUCCAGGAGGCGGCAGCAGCGCCUCCAACUCCACCAUCACGCGCCCCAACCGCUCCAGACGGCCCAGCGCGGGCGGCAACGAAAAUGUGGGCACCAGCCAAGCCAUCAGUUCCAGUCUUGUUAUUUCCAAAAAGGCCUGAAGCCAGUCUUGCAAAGAGGUGGUGGUGGCCAUGCAGUUGGAUACCUGGAACUCUUAGCUCUCUGCAGGAUGCCAGGGCACCAAAGGCUGGAAGCCUUAGCCGUGCCUUGUCAGGAAAAACUCUGUGGAGGCUCGUCUGUAGUAAACAGUGGUUACAGGGAGCCGGUCUGUGCCAAAUCGAGGACACGCAGCUGCCAGAUCUUGAAUACAAACCUUAAAACCUCACAAACAUCAAGUUCCAGAGGAGUCUCCAAGUCCUAGAACUUCUAUGACACUGUUGGCUUCAGGAAAACUGGUCACUUCAGAGCCCAAUGCUAAGGACCCCUAUUUCCCAAAAUUGUGAUCUUAAGCAAGCUGCACCUCCAUUUUGCCCAUCGGUCUAAAAACAAUACAGCCAUGAUGAGAUGGACCUCAGAGGGUGAGAAGUGUUUGGCUCUGUCUGGAAUGUAGAAAAUUCUAGUUAAAUGUUGGCUACCAAAAUUAUGACAGCUGUUUAGAAUCCUAAACCUUUGCAAACGGGAGUGUUUCUUUCCUUUUGUUUGUGGUUUUGGUUUUUUGUUUUUGUUUUUUUGUGUUUUUUGUUUUUUUCUUUUUCUUUUUACACGGAAUCUGGCUAUAUAGCCCCAAGCAACCUUAAACUCUUGAUUCUUCUGCCUCAGUUUCUGGGGUGCUGGGAUUACUGGUAUGUGAUACUGGAUGAAACUGGAACUUUUCAGAGUAGACUGUUACAAAGUUUAGAAUCAUCAGGCUAUGGCUAUAUUGUUCCUGACAGGACUAGGACCCUGGGCCGCUAUGUGUAUGGUUUUUUUGUUUGUUUGUUUUAACAACCCAGAGCCUUGUGCGUGUUAAACAAGCACUCUGGCACUGAGCUGCAAUGGCCAGCCUUUCUUCCCCUUGCCCUUCUUGGUGAUGCUGGCUGCAUUAACAGCCACUGGGGCUGUUCCCAGGUGGGUGGCUGCUGGGUCAGGGCACUCAGCACAAACAUGAUGUGGGGCUCACUCAGAGACUCGCAGCAGCUUCUGGGAGCCAGCCAUUCUGAGACUCUCUGAUUCUGUGAAUUUGUGGGGGGAGUACAGCCCACUUUUUUCUCCAUGAAUUGCUUUCCAUGCCUCUUGCCUUCUGUGGAAAGAAAGGCUACAGGAGUGGCCAGCUCUGCCAAGCCUUGGCAACAUGAUGGUGGUGAUCAUAUGCAUGCUUGCUAAGGAAAUACUGAGGUUUGGAGCAGAAGGAAGCCUCUGGAGACAGAGCACUACCCCACCUCUCCCCUGGCUGCUUCCCAUUCACAUGGCAGGCUUCAGAUCCCUUCUUCUGUUCAACCCAGCGAUCCUCCAACGUCUCACAAACACAAUGCUGUCUCUACCUGCCUCGGGAUGCCUUUGUGAUUUGACUUAUUUUCCCUCAGUUUUUUUUUUCUGACUCUACACACUUUUGUUUAAGAAAUUGUGGUUUCUCAUGAGCCCUGUUAUCUCAUUGAUACCUUUUACCUCUGUGGUGAGGGGAAGAAAUCAUAUUUUCAGAUGACUUGUAAAGGGCAAAGAAAAAACCCAAAAUUUCAAAAUUUCCGUUUAAGUCUCAUAAGAAAAGAAUAAACAAAGUAAGAGAGCAAAGAAAAAAAAACUACAAGAACCCCCCCCCCACCCUGCAAUUAUCAGCACACACACUCAUCAAAAAAAAAUUGGAUUAUUAGAAGAGCGAGGUCUGCGGCUUCCACGCCGUGGUUUUUCUUCUCGGUAUAAAAGCAAAGUUGUUUUUGAUAAUGUGGCAGUUUCCCACAAGCCAGGCUGAUCCCCCUCUAGCAGUCCACUUCACCAAGGUGAGCGAGUGUCCCUGCUCUCCCCCACCAGACACAGCUCUGCUGGCGAAAGUGGCAGAGAGGUAUUGAGGGUGGGUGUCAGGAGCCCACCAGUACAGCUGGAAACACCCAGCCACUCCAGGUAAGGACUUUGGAAACUAAUACCAUUCAUCCUAAAUGCCAGAUAGGUGGAGCAGUUGGUCCUUAGACAGGGGCAAAAAGAAGUACUUUGAUUGUUUGAUGCACAGAUAAACAGGAUUUUUUUUUAACAUAUGUCUAUCAACUGCUGGUCUCCAGGAAUGCCGGAGCUUUAGGCAACUCAAGAUGCUGUCCAGCUAUAACUAGAAACUAGAAGUGCAUCUCUUGUUUCUUUUCCUCCUGCUGUCUUCCAUUUCUUCUCCUGUCUCCCCCUGCUUCUUUGCCUGUCUCUGCCUUCCAUCAGUGCCCAGUCUCUGUCUCUUUCCCAGGCUCUGACUAUAUGCCUGUCUGUCUCUUCCAGCCUGGCCAGCCACAGUCCCUUUCUUUCCUCCCGCUCUCUGACUCUCGGCUCAUCUUCCUUCAGCUGCUUUUGCACCCGGUAUUGAGCGCAGAUAUUUGUACACAACUGGCGCUUAAUAAUAAUGGCUUAAGAGCUCUGUUUUCCAAGAACGGGCAUUAGUUCUGUGUGUCUUAGGUUUGUGAGCUGUCAGGUCAGUCUUAGCAUUUAACUGACCUUCUGCUUGUGUCACGCAAGAUAACACCCUCAGUCAGCCACAGUUUAGCAAAGGACUAUAUGACUGUGAGCAGAAUCCAUGUGCAAGGAGAGCAGGCAGUUCAGGACGAGGGUGAGCUGGUCUCUGCAGGUUUAGUGCUGUGGCACUGUGCCUGGUAUAUGGUGAGUUCUCACUGUUUGCUAUUAGCAUUUUUAAACAAAUUAGAAUCGUGCUAUAGAUUGGAUUUGUUUCUGCUCUGUUCAAGCGAUACCAUUUUUGUAGCAUACUAAAAUAACGAACACGUGAUCUUUUAUGUCUGCCGUGACUGUCCUCACAUCACCAUGAAUUUGAUUACCUGAAUUAAGUGCUGAUGGUGGGAUAUUUGGGUUUCUUCUGAUUCUAAAACUCCAUACCUGACUCCAUGGAUCCUGAAAAUGGAGUAGCUGGGGAAGAAGGGGUGUACAUCUUAAGGGGUUUUGCCCUCUCUACAAAUUGCUUUUCCAAAACGUUGUCUUAUUUUCUGUUGUUUCUAUUCAAGUUAAUUUUAGGUGUGUGUUACCAUUUUUAAUCCUUCCCCAUCAUAAGAAAAAUGACAAGUAUUAAAAUUUUGCAUUUUGGUUACUUUUAAUGA
rnacentral:lncRNA from 1 species